rnacentral:rRNA from 1 species
GAUGAACGCUGGCGGCGUGCCUAAUACAUGCAAGUCGAGCGAACAGACGAGGAGCUUGCUCCUCUGACGUUAGCGGCGGACGGGUGAGUAACACGUGGAUCACCUACCUAUAAGACUGGGAUAACUUCGGGAAACCGGAGCUAAUACCGGAUAAUAUAUUGAACCGCAUGGUUCAAUAGUGAAAGACGGUUUUGCUGUCACUUAUAGAUGGAUCCGCGCCGCAUUGGCUAGUUGGUAAGGUAACAGCAUACCAAGGCGACGCUGCGUAGCCGACCUGAGCGGAUGGUCGGCAACACUGGAACUGAGACACGGUCCCGACUCCUACGGGAGGCCGCAGUGGGGAAUAUUGGACAAUGGGCGCAAGCCUGAUCCAGCCAUAACGCGUGGGUGAAGAAGGCCUUCGUGUUGUAAAGCCCUUUUGUUGGGAAAGAAAAGCAGCAGGUUAAUACCCCGCUGUUCUGACGGUACCCAAAGAAUAAGCACCGGCUAACUUCGUG